rnacentral:rRNA from 1 species
UACGUAGGGCGCAAGCGUUGUCCGGAAUUAUUGGGCGUAAAGAGCUCGUAGGCGGUCUGUCGCGUCUGCCGUGAAAACCCGAGGCUUAACCUCGGGCUGGCGGUGGAUACGGGCAGACUAGAGGUAGGUAGGGGAGAAUGGAAUUCCCGGUGUAGCGGUGAAAUGCGCAGAUAUCGGGAGGAACACCGGUGGCGAAGGCGGGUCUCUGGGCCGUAACUGACGCUGAGGAGCGAAAGCAUGGGGAGCGAACAGG